UUAAAGGAAUUAGAUUCUUAGCCACAGAGUUAAAACAGGCUCAGCUGCAAUGCAAGUUUUCCCACACACUGCCCCACCAACAUGCCUCAUCCCUGACCUGGAGAGACCACCUCUAAGGUGAGAGAGCAGUUCAGUGUCCAAUCCCAUUUAAUUCUCGGUCUAU
rnacentral:sRNA from 1 species